GGCCGGGAGGCGCCCCGGCGCAGCCUCUGCCCCCACGCAGGCGGGGCAGCCGCCCGGUCAGGGUAGUCCUCUACGGCCCCUUGGACAUUUUUCCACAGUUGCUGCUGCCGCCAGCCCCCUGCCCGCGGCCCCCGGUUCCCUUCAGCCCAGCCUGUGUCCGGCAGUAGCCCUGAGGGCCGCCCGCGCCCUCGUCCCCCCGGGCUGGCUCGAAUGUGUCCCCAUAGGGAUUCGCGCGGUUUAGCGGAGGGGAGCAAUGUUCCUGGCUUUGCCAGAGCGCCCCUCGUCUUUGCUCCUACUCCUGCCACCCCUGGCGCCACCAGCGACGCGGGUGCCCGCAGGCAGGGCUGAAGCCAGGCGGCACAUGGAUUUGGCAGCAGCUGCGCUGCCAGCUGAGCCAUGUCCAAGGACACUGCCAGGCUGGCUGUGUGGCCAGCUUGCUCCCACGGGGCUUCCAGGCUGUCGGGGGCGAUACUUGUCAUCAGGGUUCGCAGGAUUCCCCGGUACCGACAGACGUGGAGGCUUUAUUUUCUCAUUUUUCUAUUUGUUGCUGCUUACCACAAAAGAUUGCUAGCAGUUGCGGUGAUUAUUGAAAAGGUCGCACAUCAGCGCUGCUCCGCACAUCGCUCUGCUUCCGCGCAUGCGCGGAGCCGGCCGCCUCGCCUCAGGAAGGGGAGCCGGGCGGCGCGCAGGACCCCUGCCCGCGGCAAAAUGGCGGCGCCCGUCUCCGGAGCAGGAGCCGCGCCGGGCCGGGCCGGGAAGCACGGUCGGCGGCUUCUGCGGAAAUGGCCCUUGUGCGGGGAGGGGGUGGCGCCGGACCGGACCGGGCGAGCGGCGAGGGAAGGACGGAUGGAUGGACAGACGGAUGCCGCUCGAUGCCUUGCCCGCCAGGGGAAGGGGAGAACGACCGGGCAGGGAGCCCCACCGCAGCCCCCGUCCCGGGAGUCCUGCACAGCAGUUUAAUAAAGUUUGCUUUAUGGCCCGUGC